AUGAAAUCGAAAAUAUUCCGAGAUGGCAAAUAUUCGGAGAUGAAUAUGAAAACACCUCUCUGGAUCCUCGAAUUGAAAGAGAGAUUGAGAGGGACUCUUGGUUGCGAGGCCAGGGGGACCUACUAUCUACUUAACCGCUAG
rnacentral:rRNA from 1 species